rnacentral:lncRNA from 1 species
GUGGAGCAGCUGGGACUUGAACUGGCACUCAUGUGGGAUGCCGGCACUACAGGUGGUGGCUUUACCAGAUAUGCUGCAGUACACGCCCUGUUGAAUUUCUUGAGCUCUUUAUAGAUUCAGGAUAUUAAUCCUUUUUUUUUUUUUUUUUGCUUUUUAAAGAUUUAUUUAUUUGAGAGGCAGAGUUACAGAGAGAAGGAGACAGAAAGUCUUCCAUCCGCUGGUUCACCCCCACCAAAUGGCCAGUACAGUUUGAGCUGAGCUAAUCUGAAGCCAAGAGUUUCUUCUAUCUCCCAUGUGGGUGCAGGGGCCCAAGGACUUGGGCCAUCUCCUACUGCUUUCCCAGGCCAUAGCAGAGUUGGAUCGGUAGAGCAGCAGCUGGGAUAUGAACCAGUGCCCAUGUACCACAGAUGGAGGAUUGGCCUACUACUCCACAGCAACAGCCACAAAUAAAUCAGUUAACUAUUUUCAUCACACAAAACUUAACUACAGAUGCUCCUUGACUCACAAUGAGGUUACAUCCCUGUCUGGAUUUGGUUUGGAGAGUAAGACUGGGUCUCACCAAGGACUGUCAGGCAGCUGAGGUGCCAACAGGGGCAGGGUUCUCACACAGGAGAUGGCAUCUGUGGGGAGCAACUCAGACUAGACUAAGUUACUGGAAUUAAGACUUAUUCUAUGCAUCUGCUCUCCCACAAUAUGGCGCUGAGAAGGGAGUAAACAACUUCUACACAGCUGCCUCUCGCCAACUUGAGUGAUGACCUGCAGGAGCUGAUCCUGCUCCUGAUUGGAGGAGAGCAGCGUACUCAGCGUGUGGGUAGCAGAGUUGGGAUUGGUGGAAGAGGACUAUAAAGGAGGAGAGAGACAACAUGCACCAGGAACCUCUAAAGGGAACAUCCGGAUAACAUCUGAGCAGCCCCCGAGAGAGCCGGCCAGUGGUGUGCCGCUCCCCCGCGGAAGUGGGGAAAGUGGCAGGGGGAACCGCCCUUCCACGGAGGUGGAAGGAUCGGCAGCCAACCCGGGAAGGACCAGCAGCAAACCCGGGAAGGGCCGAGCAGACAAAAGAACAGCGCAGGGUUUAGUGUUGUUCCUCCGCGAAGAGGGGGAGCGACAGCAUCUGUGAACUUCACAUGCAGACUGUACCCUGGUCAUUAUUUCCUCUCUGCAGGAUGAAGCAUGCACUACCUUCAAAUCAUCCCACACGUACCCGGAGCUCCACAGGACGAGCCAUCUUUGGCAGAGGCCACAGGGGAAAGGCAGGAUAUUAAUCCUUAAUCAGUUGCAUUGUUUGCAAAUAUCUUCUCCCAUUUCUGUCAGUUGAAAAAGCAGUUUUUAAACA